UAGGGAAUCUUCCACAAUGGGCGCAAGCCUGAUGGAGCAACACCGCGUGAGUGAAGAAGGGUUUCGGCUCGUAAAGCUCUGUUGUUAAAGAAGAACACGUAUGAGAGUAACUGUUCAUACGUUUGACGGUAUUUAAUCAGAAAGUCACGGCUAACUACGUGCCAG
rnacentral:rRNA from 1 species